AUGGUUGGGCGAAAACUUGCUCUAAAAACCACUGACUGUGUAGCUUUUGUGGAGAUCAUACCCCAGAACUAAAAGGCCAUUGCUAAUUCCCUGAAAUCCUGGAAUGAGACCCUCACCUCCAGGUUGGCUACUUUACCUGAGAAUCCACCAGCUAUUGACUAGGCUUACUACAAGGCCCAUGUAGCCAAGGCAGGCUUGGUGGAUGACUUUGAGAAGAAGCUUAAUGCCCUGAAGUUUCUGUGCCAGAGGAUAAAUAUACUGCCCAGCUGGAUGCUGAAGACAAAGAAGAUGUGAAAUCUUGUGCUGAGUGGGUGUCUCUCUCAAAGGCCGGGAUUGUAGAAUAUGAGAAACAGAAGGAGAAGAUGAAGAACUUAAUUCCAUUUGAUCAGAUGACCAUUGAGGACUUGAAAAAAACUUUCCCAGAAACCAAAUUAGACAAGAAAAAGUAUCCCUAAUGACCUCACCAACCAAUCAAGGAUUUAUAA
rnacentral:lncRNA from 1 species